UACGUAGGGUCCGAGCGUUGUCCGGAGUUACUGGGCGUAAAGCGCGCGCAGGUGGUUCCCUAAGCCCGGCGUGAAAGCCCCCGGCUCAACUGGGGAGGGUCACGCGAUACUGAUCGACUCGAAGGCAGGAGAGGGUAGUGGAAUUCCCGGUGUAGUGGUGAAAUGCGUAGGUAUCGGGAGGAACACCAGUGGCGAAGGCGACUACCUGGCCUGUUCUUGACGCUGAGGCGCGAAAGCUAGGGGAGCAAACGGG
rnacentral:rRNA from 1 species